AUGCAGAUCUUCAGUUACUUUUAUCCUGUCCUGUGGCUCUUCUUGCCAGGAGGUUCUACUGAAUCCAUCACUUUGACCCAACCCAGGACAGCAACAGCACCGCCUGGGGGCUCUGUGACUCUGGACUGUGUGGUAACUGGGUAUGAUAUCAACAGGCACCACAUGCACUGGUUGCGCCAAGCCACUGGCAAAGGCCUAGUCUACAUAGGAGGAUUUAGAACUGGGGAUCCCAUCAUAGUUGUCGAUGCCUUUAAAGGACGUGCCACCCCCUUCACCAGUGGUUCUACAGCAAAGCUAAGUCUCGUUGCUCUGACAGCUGAUGAUACGGCCAUGUAUUACUGUGCCAGAGGAGUCACAAUGACUCAGAAAGGGACUUCCUUUGUACAAUAA